rnacentral:tRNA from 1 species
GGGGGCAUAGCUCAGCUGGGAGAGCACCUGCUUUGCAAGCAGGGGGUCGUCGGUUCGAUCCCGUCUGUCUCCACCA